rnacentral:sRNA from 1 species
UGUUUAGUGCUAAGGUUGAUACUAAGCAGAAUUAAAGAUGUGAAAUUUAAUAAAUACCCUGUUUUAAGAGCUUUGCUAAAGAUGUGUAUGGAAUGUUCUGAAUGAAACAGACUUAGUAAGACAUGAGUGUUGAAAAGUUUUCUCAGUUAAUUUAGCAGCACUCAGGACUGCUUUGUCCAUGCAGAUAUGGCUGACUUACUGGGGACUUUUGUUUCUAACAUUAGCCAAGCUUACUGUCAACUCUGAAGAGAUGUUGGAGUUGUCCUAGAACACUUAAACUUGGAAGUUAAAUUGUCUUUCAAUGUGUUUGGCAGAGUUAUAAAAGUAGACAUGAGCCAUAUUGAUAGCGGCACGGCAUAUCAAGAGCUUCAGAAUACUUAUGACACUUCUUUGACAUUCUGUGAAAGGCUAUAGAUAAGUACCUCCAAACAUCAUGCCUCCAGCCUCACUCUUGCUUAAGGAAAUACUCUGAAAGUAGAUUUUCUUUCUUUUUUGAGACAGUCUCUCUGUCUCCCAGGCUGGAGUGCAGUGGCAUGAUCUUGGUUCACUGCAGCCUCCACCUCCUGGGUUCAACCGAUUCUCCUUCCUCAGCCUCCCGAGUAGCUGGGAUUACAGGUGCCCACCCACCACGCCUGGCUAAUUUUUGUUCUUUUAGUAGAGACGGGGAUUUGGUUGCGCCAUGUUGGCCAGGCUGGUCUCAAACUCCUGACCGCAAGCGAUCCGCCCACCUCGGCCUCCCAAAGUGCUGGGAUUACGGGCAUGAGUUACUGCGCCCAGCCAAAUAUCUGUUCUUUUAGCUCUUUGAUAGUUCCUUUGUAGUGACAAAUUAUUUUCUAAAAGCUUAUAAAUUGGUGUUUCUGUGGAAGAUGUUAUUUCUCAUCGAAUGCGUAUUGAUAGUGUUUUAAGGUUAGACCACAAAGUAUUUGUCUUCCAUGUGCCUGAUAUUUACAUGGUACUCUAAGCUGCACUGUUGAGUACUGUAGCAUCUAGCUUAUAUGGCUAUUUAAAUUUAUAUUAGGCUAAAAAUUCACCAGUGCAGCCAUAUUUCAAGUUUUCAGUGGCUGUGAGUGGCCAAUGGCUCUAUUGUAUUGGACAGUACAGAUAUAGGACAUAUGCAGAAAUUAUCAUUGGACAACCCUGCUGUAGAAUGUCACCAGUGUUUCUGGAAUCACUGUUUUCGUGCUUGAAGUAUUUUGUGCUCCACUUUGAAAUGCUAGGAAAUCGUAUCUUCCCUUCACAUUGUAAACUCUUGGUGAUUAUUGUGGUCUUUGGAGGUGAAGCCCUUGGGCAGAAUUGGAAUGGGAGUGGAAAGUAAACUGCUUUGCUGUGGACUAGAAGUAGAAUUGGGAUGAGGUGUUCCCGUUCUCAUGAGUCCCUUCCCUGUCUGCACUGUUCCCUUUCCUUGUGAACCUUUAUUUCCCAAACCCCUUCUUCACCUUUUCCACCUCCAGCCUGUGCAGAGGCAGAUAGAUACUGGGGACCUGUUGUACUUUGUUCUGCAUCUUCACUAGUGGAAAUAAGAGUUCUUCUCUUAGGCUCACUGCUCGGGGGUGGCCUGUAAGAUGUUCUUCAGUCUAGUGCUUUCUCUUUUAAUUUGGGUGCCUUGUGUCAUUGGAUGUGUAAUGUGGUCUCGAGCUAAAUGUGCAGACAGCAGCAUCUGAGACAUAUCCAGAGAGCAGAGGCAGCAUUUCUUUGAAUUCAGCAAAACCAUAAUUAUUGUGUUUUCUUUUCAGAACUGUGUUUUACGCAAAUAAUCUUCGGCAAAGUCUUACUCUUAUUGUAGAUACUCAUUUUAAUUCUGUGUGUUAACUUGCACCACAAUUUUGCAUAAUUUACUAUCCUCCUCCAGAAAGCUCUACAGUGUUCCAUUGGUCAACGUUUUUGCCAGUAAUGUCAGAAAUAAUGGGUUGGGUGAUCUUAGUUUCUAUAUUUAAACAAAAUUUUGUCAAUUUUCAGUUAGUUGCUUGUUUUCCCUGACCACUGGGCUAUCUCGUAUUUCUGGUCUUCAGUGAUGUUGUUCCUUUUGUGUGGUGUAACCUUUAGCAUUUACGUGCCUUGGCCACCUCUCGUUGCUUAGAACAGACCCAAUCUCCAGAAGGUUUUCUGGGUGUUCUUCUUUUCCCUCGGGUUCCCCUUUGCUGCCCCGAGCACCAUUGUAUACCUCUUGCCACAGUGUGCUUUUGUUUCUCCAUUUCACAGUAGGUUCCUCUAUCAGCAUCUUGCACAGUUGCCUAGCAACAUAGUUUAAUGUGUUGGAGGCAAGAAGGGAGGAAAUUCACACCAUGUUCAUCCUACUCAGUGUGAACUGAGUCUAUAGUUGAUAUCCUCUUUGUGUCACUCAAUGUUGUCCUGCCUGAGUUCAGGCUUGGUUCUUACGUUGCGGCAGCUCUUUUGCCUUUAUUUAGGCAACAGACCAGAAAUAGAAACCCUUGAAUUUUUUUUUUUUAUUACUUUAUUUUCCUUGCCAGCACCUUGGUUAGGUUUCUUAACUACUUUUUUCUUGAGUCUUUGUAAAGUAUAAUUACACUUUACUGUGCUUACGAUCUAAAGAAUACUUAAUCAGUGUUAUUUUUUAUUUUUAUGUUUUAUUUUUGUAUUGAUUAGGUCUUGCCAUGUUGCCCAGACUGGUCUCGGGCUCCUGGACUCAAGCAGUCCUCCCACCUUGGCCUCCCAAAGUGCUGGGAUUACAGGCAUGGGCCACCACACUUGGCCUCAUUUUAUUUCUUAAAGUCACUGCCCAAUAAACAUUCCAAGUUUCCACUAGUUUUUGUUUUUGGACAUUUGUUCUAUCC